CAAUAGCGUAUAUUAAAGUUGUUGCGGUUAAAAAGCUCGUAGUUGGAUUUCUGCUGAGAACGACCGGUCCGCCCUUUGGGUGUGUAUCUGGCUCUUUCUUGGCAUCUUCUUGGUGAACGUUGCUGCACUUGACUGUGUGGAGCGCUACCCAGGACUUUUACUUUGAGGAAAUUAGAGUGUUUCAAGCAGGCAUACGCCUUGAAUACAUUAGCAUGGAAUAAUAAGAUAGGACCUCGGUUCUAUUUUGUUGGUUUCUAGAGCUAAGAUAAUGAUUAAUAGGGACAGUUGGGGGCAUUCGUAUUAACGCGUCAGAGGUGGAAUUCUUGGAUUGCGUUACGACGAACUACUGCGAAANCANNNGCCAAGGAUGUUUUCAUNGA
rnacentral:rRNA from 1 species